AGAAGACCUUCUUCUUCUUCUUCUUGGACUUUUCCUUCCACUUCUUCUUCUUUUCCUUCUUUUCUUUCUUCUCCUCCUUCUUCUCCUUCGUUUCUUUCUUUUCUUUCUUAGAGAGAGAGAGAGAAGAGUGAGAGAGAGGGAGAGAGCAACUGAGAGGGAGGGAGAGGGGUCCCCCACCUCUAAUAAAGGCCCUUUUGCAGUUAGCCC
rnacentral:lncRNA from 1 species